GGCGGUCACCUGUGCAGGAGACAGCAACAUUUUCUCCUAAAUCCUCUCUCCAGGGGACACAGUUAACAGUCCCUCCCAAAUCAAAGCCAGCUCCAGAAAUAAAGCUUCCGCCAGCCUGCAUAGAUUAACCAUCCCCACAAAAGGGCAGAGGAACACCGAGUCUGCGGGUGGAGCUGGCGGGGAGAGAGGGCCAUCAGGAGGACCUUGCUCAGGUGACCACAAGGCUCCAUCCCGGCCUCAGCCUCCUCCCCACAGGCACGCUGCCCUCAGUGUUCAGCCCCACUGCUCAGGUGAGGACGCUGAGGUUCAGCCAGGCCAGGUCUCCUGGAGAAGGUGUGCAGGGCCCAGACAAGAACCAGGUCUCUGGCCUCCAGGUCCCUUGGGGGACAUGCCCGAGCCUGGAAUGUGCCUCCCUGAGGUUCCAGGGACACCAGGGAGGCCUGGGGCCAGAGCCGUGGCCCAUCCACUCUGCAGCCUGAAGUCCCCAUGAUCUGUAGACACCAAGGCCUCAGGACAGAUCCCCAGGAGAUGACAUCUACCCAGAGCACACUGCUGGCACAGUGCGCAACACGGGCUGAGGAACUCUGAAGAGCAGGCCCAGCCCAGGCUCCACCUCUUGUGCGUCCACUGGGCAGGUGUCCUCGCCUGCACAGUGGGUGAAUCUGCACUGGCUGGGUGGCCAUGAGGACCAUGGGUGGCAGUUCUGGGACAUCAAGCCUAGAAAGGCAGGUGAGCCAAUGUCAUGUGGGUAGAUCAACAAGGGGCAGGCAGCAGAGCCCAGCAAACACCAUCUGCAGUGGGCAUCAGCUUUCUUACUGGACCCGGGAAAGGGGGUCUCCAGCCCCCACUUGAGUUGGCUCACUCCCAUGGUGGAGUGGGUAGACCUGUCGGGUCAUGACCGGGGCCUCUGUUCUCUGCAUGGGCCUCUCCGUGGCCACUCGAGCCUCCUCUCAACAUGGCAGCUAGGUCCCAAGAGCAAGUGUCCCUGGAAAACCAGGCAGAGCCAUGUCACCUUUUAUGACCUAGACUUAGUCACCUAGCCUCACUUCUGUCCCAGUCUGUUGGGGUUUGUAAACAAGUCAAGAUGGCGCCUGGCAUUUUGCCAGAGGGAGUGGUUUGUGAAGUAACACCAGCGAGCCAUUAAGUGUG
rnacentral:lncRNA from 1 species